UUGAACGCUGGCGGCAGGCCUCACACCUGCCAGUCGAGCGGAUGAAGGGAGCUUGCUCCUGGAUUCAGCGGCGGACGGGUGAGUAAUGCCUAGGAAUCUGCCUGGUAGUGGGGGAUAACGUCCGGAAACGGGCGCUAAUACCGCAUACGUCCUGAGGGAGAAAGUAGGGGAUCUUCGGACCUCACGCUAUCAGAUGAGCCUAGGUCGGAUUAGCUAGUUGGUGGGGUAAAGGCCUACCAAGGCGACGAUCCGUAACUGGUCUGAGAGGAUGAUCAGUCACACUGGAACUGAGACACGGUCCAGACUCCUACGGGAGGCAGCAGUGGGGAAUAUUGGACAAUGGGCGAAAGCCUGAUCCAGCCAUGCCGCGUGUGUGAAGAAGGUCUUCGGAUUGUAAAGCACUUUAAGUUGGGAGGAAGGGCAGUAAGUUAAUACCUUGCUGUUUUGACGUUACCAACAGAAUAAGCACCGGCUAACUUCGUG
rnacentral:rRNA from 1 species